rnacentral:rRNA from 1 species
CAAUAGCGUAUACUAAUGUUGUUGCAGUUAAAAAGCUCGUAGUUGAACUUCUGGUAGGAGUGUCCCGGCCUUUUUGUUUUUACAAAUUGUAUGCUGUGUGACAUCUCUGGCCAUCCUUCUUCUUUGUUUAAAGAAGAUCUUUCACUGUAAAAAAAUUAGGGUGUUCAAAGCAAAAGUCUCUUUGGAAUAUAUUAGUAUGGGAUGAUAAGAUAGGCUCUAGAUGCUAUUUUGUUGGUUUGCACAUUUAGAGAAUGAUUAACAGGGACAGUUGGGGGUAUUCGUAUUUACAUGUCAGAGGUGAAAUUCUUGGAUUUUGGAAAGACGAACUACUGCGAAAGCAUUUACCAAGGAUGUUUUCAUUAA